UUGUUGAAGCUACGUGAAAAAGAAAAGCGAAUUUAACCCUGACUGAUCGCAUUUUUAAUUAAUGAACUUAUUACAGUCCGAACACCAGCGUGGAAAACAGUUCAGGAAAGGAGUCGUCAACACAGGGAAAUAUUGCAGCAGAUGUGUCCAACACUGGAUUAGAGGGUGACACUUUGAAAUCUAAGAAUGAUCAGUCAGGAAUAUCAGAGGAACAUGGACAGAAAUUACUGAUUGAGAGCGGAGUAAACGACAGCCAAAGGAGUCGCAGAAAGGCUGCACGGAUGGCCCGGGUGAGGGACUACUUUGCUCAAAGAAACGGAGACGCCAACAACACAGAUAGAGACGAAUCACCUCCAGGAGUAACGCAGGCAGCUGGAGAAGAAACCCCAAAGGAAAAGCAUACAGAUGUGCGACUGUUUGCUGAGAGCAACCGCAAACCACAAGGUUCCCAAGCAAAGUGCAGCGAACCCCUCCUCAGUCUUUCACGUGAUAUGUCACCAGCACUUGACCGAACGUCUGAGGGCGAGCCAGAGAAAUCUGAGAGCAUUGCUUUGGCUGCCUCAGUCACAUUAGCAGAAGGUGAGAGUGCCACGGACAUCCAAGAUGACCUGUUUGAUAAUUUUGCUCAAGCAGAAC
ensembl:lncRNA